GAUGAACGCUGGCGGCGUGCUUAACACAUGCAAGUCGAACGGAAAGGCCCAAGCUUGCUUGGGUACUCGAGUGGCGAACGGGUGAGUAACACGUGGGUGAUCUGCCCUGCACUUCGGGAUAAGCCUGGGAAACUGGGUCUAAUACCGGAUAGGACCACAUUUUGGAUGGUGUGGUGGAAAGUUUUUCGGUGUGGGAUGAGCUCGCGGCCUAUCAGCUUGUUGGUGGGGUAAUGGCCUACCAAGGCGUCGACGGGUAGCCGGCCUGAGAGGGUGUACGGCCACAUUGGGACUGAGAUACGGACCAGACUCCUACGGGCGGCAGCAGUGGGGAAUAUUGCACAAUGGGCGCAAGCGUGAUACAGCGACGCCGCGUGGGGGAUGACGGCCUUCGGGUUGUGAACUCCUUUCGCUAGAGACGAAGCGCAAGUGACGGUACCUGGAGAAGAAGCACCGGCUAACUACGUG
rnacentral:rRNA from 1 species